rnacentral:rRNA from 1 species
CCUACGGGUGGCAGCAGUAGGGAAUUUUCCACAAUGAGCGAAACCUUGAUGCAGCGACACCGCGUGCUCGAUGAAGCUCUUCGGGUUGUAAAGUUCUGUCAUUGGGGACGAACCUUUGCACUAGCCACUGAUUGCACACUGACGGUCCCUGUUCCAGCAGCGGUGGCUAACCAUGUGCUGGCAGCCGUGGCAAUAAAGAGGUCGCAUGCGUUAUCCGGAAUUAUUGGGUGAAAUGCGUUCGUAGGCUGAUUGUUAAGUCUGUGGUUAAAGCCCGGGGCUCAACUCCGGAGCGCAUUGGAUACUAGCGAACUUGAGUGAGGUAGAGGUAAAGGGAAUUCCAGGUGUAGCGGUGAAAUGCGUAGAUAUAUGGAAGAACACCAGAGGCGAAGGCAGCUUACUGGGUCGAAACUGACGCUGAGGAACGAAAGCGGGGGUAGCAAACGGGAUUAGAUACCCUUGUAGUC